rnacentral:rRNA from 1 species
GCCUACGGGUGGCAGCAGUGGGGAAUUUUGGACAAUGGGCGCAAGCCUGAUCCAGCAAUGCCGCGUGCAGGAAGAAGGCCUUCGGGUUGUAAACUGCUUUUGUACGGAACGAAACGGUCUGGGUUAAUACCCUGGGCUAAUGACGGUACCGUAAGAAUAAGCACCGGCUAACUACGUGCCAGCAGCCGCGGUAAUACGUAGGGUGCAAGCGUUAAUCGGAAUUACUGGGCGUAAAGCGUGCGCAGGCGGUUUUGUAAGACAGGCGUGAAAUCCCCGGGCUCAACCUGGGAAUUGCGCUUGUGACUGCAAGGCUGGAGUGCGGCAGAGGGGGAUGGAAUUCCGCGUGUAGCAGUGAAAUGCGUAGAUAUGCGGAGGAACACCGAUGGCGAAGGCAAUCCCCUGGGCCUGCACUGACGCUCAUGCACGAAAGCGUGGGGAGCAAACAGGAUUAGAUACCCUUGUAGUC